rnacentral:rRNA from 1 species
AGAGUUUGAUCCUGGCUCAGAAUGAACGUUGGCGGCGUGGAUUAGGCAUGCAAGUCGCGCGAGAAACGUAGCAAUACGUGGAAAGCGGCGUAAGGGAGAGUAAUGCAUGGUUAGCUACCCCCGGGACUGGGAUAGCGGCGGGAAACUGCCGGUAAUACCAGAUGAUGUCUUCGGACCAAACGUGUAAAUCGGCCCGGGGAGGUGACCAUGUCCUAUCAGCUUGUUGGCGGGGUAACGGCCCACCAAGGCAAAGACGGGUAUGGGGCGUGAGAGCGUGCCCCCACUCACUGGGACUGAGACACUGCCCAGACACCUACGGGUGGCUGCAGUCGAGAAUCUUCGGCAAUGGGCGCAAGCCUGACCGAGCGACGCCGCGUGCGGGAUGAAGGCCUUCGGAUUGUGAACCGCUGUCGUAGGGGAGGAAGGUCUGGUGUAUAGCCAGGCUUGACCGUCCUGGGAGAAAGGGCCG